rnacentral:lncRNA from 1 species
GGCAGCCUGCAGCUUGGCCUCUACCCGUGUGAUGCAGCAAACACACUUGCAAGGCAUGUUCUACUCUUCAAAUGACGGUAUAUAGAACCCGCGGGUACUUAUAAGGUGAAGAUUGACCCUGUGUGAAUGACAAGGAAGUGAUUCCUGAAGUUCCAGAGGGAGGAAGGGAUUUGCUCAAAGUCACCCAGCAGGGCAGUGUUAUUGACGCUGUUUCACAAACGAGGACCUCCGAUGGAAGGAGCUAGGCUACCUGGGAGAAAUGAUAUUCUG